rnacentral:lncRNA from 1 species
GGAGCUGCUCUGUCCUGUGUGUCUUUACAGAUGUGAAUGGUGGGGAAUGGGAUCCAGCUUCCCAGCUGGCUUCCAGGUCAGAAGGUCCGGCAAAUCGCAUGAAAGUGCCUCCAGGGAGGGCCUUGCCAAGUCGUCGGCUGGAGUCCCGCUGGCACCCCAGGGGUCCUGAGAGAUGGAAAGAGGAAUUGAAAAGAGGAAAAUACUCCCCCGUCCUAAAGGAAAUCAAGACGGAUUUUGAGAAGGCAGCUCCUGGUGUGACUGGAGGUGAAGAUGAUCCAGCUUCCCCUCUGAGUUCCGGGACUGAAACUGCGGCAGAUCACGUGGAAGUGCCCCCAGGGAGGGCCUUGCCGCGUCCUCGGCUCCUUCCUGUGCUGGAGCCCAGCUGGAAUCCCAGGGGUGAGUAGUUAGUCUUUUCUGAUU